rnacentral:rRNA from 1 species
CCUACGGGGGGCAGCAGUCGAGAAUCAUUCACAAUGGGGGAAACCCUGAUGGUGCGACGCCGCGUGGGGGAAUGAAGGUCUUCGGAUUGUAAACCCCUGUCAUGUGGGAGCAAAUUAAAAAGAUCGUACCACAAGAGGAAGAGACGGCUAACUCUGUGCCAGCAGCCGCGGUAAUACAGAGGUCUCAAGCGUUGUUCGGAAUCACUGGGCGUAAAGCGUGCGUAGGCUGUUUCGUAAGUCGUGUGUGAAAGGCGCGGGCUCAACCCGCGGACGGCACAUGAUACUGCGAGACUAGAGUAAGGGAGGGGGAACCGGAAUUCUCGGUGUAGCAGGGAAAUGCGUAGAUAUCGAGAGGAACACUCGUGGCGAAGGCGGGUUCCUGGACAUUAACUGACGCUGAGGCACGAAGGCCAGGGGAGCGAAAGGGAUUAGAUACCCGAGUAGUC